UAGGUAGAGGCCUGUUGGUUAGGGCACCUAGCUGUUAACUAGGGGUAUUGUGAGAUCGAAGCUCACCUGCCUAG
rnacentral:tRNA from 1 species